rnacentral:rRNA from 1 species
UACGGAAGGGGCAAGCGUUGUUCGGAAUCAUUGGGCGUAAAGGGCGCGUAGGUGGUUCUGUAUGUCUACCAUGAAGCGUACGGCUCAACCGUAUUUUGUCGGUAGAAACUGCAGGACUUGAGGCUGGGAGGGGCUGGUGGAAUUCCCUGUGUAGCGGUGAAAUGCGUAGAGAUGGGGGAGAACACUCGUGGCGAAGGCGGCCAGCUAGACCAGUUCUGACACUGAGGCGCGACAGCGUGGGGAGCAAACAGG